AGGGCACCACCAGGAGUGGAGCCUGCGGCUUAAUUUGACUCAACACGGGAAAACUCACCCGGCCCGGACACUGUGAGGAUUGACAGAUUGAUAGCUUUUUCAUGAUUCAGUGGAUGGUGGUGCAUGGCCGUUCUUAGUUCGUGGAGUGAUUUGUCCGGUUUAUUCCGAUAACGAGCGAGACUCUAACCUACUAAAUAGUUGAUAUUUAUUUAUAAGAAUAUACAACUUCUUAGAGGGAUUUGCGGUGUUUAGCCGAAAGAAAUUGAGCAAUAACGGGUCUGUGAUGCCCUUAGAUGUCCGGGGCUGCACGCGCGCUACACUGGCAAAAUCAACGUGCUUGUCCUUCCCCGAAAGGGGCGGGUAAACCAUUGAAAAUUUGCCGUGAUUGGGAUCGGAAAUUGCAAUUAUUUUCCGUGAACGAGGAAUUCCAAGUAAGUGCGAGUCAUCAGCUCGCGUUGAUUACGUCCCUGCCCUUUGUACACACCGCCCGUCGCUGCCCGGGACUGAGCCAUUUCGAGA
rnacentral:rRNA from 1 species